rnacentral:rRNA from 1 species
UUAGUCAAUGCUCGCAAGAGUGAACUAGCUAACUGAAAUCAUAUGACUCAUUAAUAUGGUGAUUAUGAUAACAUAAGGGAAAAAAAUGAUAUUACCUUAUUAUUAGUGUUGUCCAAAACUGGUGCCAGAAGACUCGGUAAGACCAGAGACGCAAACGUUAGUCAUCUUAAUCAGGCGUAAAGGGUUUGUAGGCUGCUUUAAAAUUUUAAUUUUUUGUAAUAGCUCUUUUACCGUAAUGCUAAAAUUAUUUAUUAAUUAUUUGAUUUGAUAAUAAAUAAUGUAGUAUAUAAAAUUUAUUAUAUAAAAUAAAUAAAUGAUAUAAAAUAAAUAUCCGUGUAUAAGUAAAGAAAUAAAUGAAUUAAAGCUAGGAUCAAAUUGAGGAUAAACCAAAUAAUACUUAGAGUAGGGCUUAUAUCCGUAGAUACUAAGGGGAAUACUAAAGGUGAAAACUUUUUAUCUACUAUUGAUUGACGCUGAGAAACGAAGGUGAGAAUAGGAAAUAGGAUUAGAUACCCAGAUACCUCUCACUGUCAACGAUGAAUGGUGGUUUGUUAGUUUUAAUAAAAACUGGUAACGAUGUUAACACGAUAACCAUUCCGCCUUGCGAGUACGGUUGCAAAA